rnacentral:rRNA from 1 species
AGUGAACGCUGGCGGUAGGCCUAACACAUGCAAGUCGAACGGCCGCACAGUAAGAGCUUGCUCUUACGGGUGGCGAGUGGCGGACGGGUGAGGAAUACAUCGGAAUCUACUUUUUCGUGGGGGAUAACGUAGGGAAACUUACGCUAAUACCGCAUAUGACCUACGGGUGAAAGCAGGGGAUCUUCGGACCUUGCGCGAUUGAAUGAGCCGAUGUCGGAUUAGCUAGUUGGCGGGGUAAAGGCCCACCAAGGCGACGAUCCGUAGCUGGUCUGAGAGGAUGAUCAGCCACACUGGAACUGAGACACGGUCCAGACUCCUACGGGAGGCAGCAGUAGGGAAUCUUGGGCAAUGGGCGCAAGCCUGAUCCAGCCAUGCCGCGUGGGUGAAGAAGGCCUUCGGGUUGUAAAACUCUUUUGUUGGGAAAGAACAACAGCAGAUUAAUACCCCGCUGUUCUGACGGUACCCAAAGAGUAAGCACCGGCUAACUUCGUG